rnacentral:rRNA from 1 species
AGGGAGUUUGAUCCUGGCUCAGGAUGAACGCUAGCGACAGGCUUAACACAUGCAAGUCGAGGGGCAGCAUGGGAGGUGGCAACACCACCCGAUGGCGACCGGCGCACUGGUGAGUAACACGUAUGCAACCUGCCCCCUACAGGGGAAUAACCCCAGAGAAAUUUGGCCUAAUACCCCGUAGUCCGCCGCGCCGCAUGACGUGGCGGGGAAAGAGUUAUCGGUAGGGGAUGGGCAUGCGGCGCAUUAGCUAGUUGGCGGGGCAACGGCCCACCAAGGCUACGAUGCGUAGGGGUUCUGAGAGGAAGGUCCCCCACACUGGUACUGAAACACGGACCACACUCCUACCGGAGGCAGCAGUGAGGAAUAUUGGUCAAUGGGCGCGAGCCUGAACCAGCCAAGUCGCGUGCGGGAAGACGGCCCUACGGGUUGUAAACCGCUUUAGCCGGGGAGUAACAAGCGCCACGUGUGGCGCCAUGAGAGUACCCGGAGAAUAAGCAUCGGCUAACUCCGUGCCAGCAGCCGCGGUAAUACGGAGGAUGCGAGCGUUAUCCGGAUUCAUUGGGUUUAAAGGGUGCGCAGGCGGCGCGCCAAGUCAGCGGUCAAAUCUCCGGGCUCAACCCGGUGUCGCCGUUGAAACUGGCGUGCUUGAGUAGGUGCGACGGAGGCGGAAUGCGUGGUGUAGCGGUGAAAUGCAUAGAUAUCACGCAGAACCCCGAUUGCGAAGGCAGCUUCCGAGCACUCGACUGACGCUGAGGCACGAAAGCGUGGGUAUCGAACAGGAUUAGAUACCCUGGUAGUCCCU